GAUGAACGCUGGCGGCGUGCCUAAUACAUGCAAGUCGAGCGAACGGACGAGAAGCUUGCUUCUCUGAUGUUAGCGGCGGACGGGUGAGUAACACGUGGAUAACCUACCUAUAAGACUGGGAUAACUUCGGGAAACCGGAGCUAAUACCGGAUGAUAUUUUGAACCGCAUGGUUCAAUAGUGAAAGACGGUCUUGCUGUCACUUAUAGAUGGAUCCGCGCUGCAUUAGCUAGUUGGUAAGGUAACGGCUUACCAAGGCAACGAUGCGUAGCCGACCUGAGAGGGUGAUCGGCCACACUGGAACUGAGACACGGUCCAGACUCCUACGGGAGGCAGCAGUAGGGAAUCUUCCGCAAUGGGCGAAAGCCUGACGGAGCAACGCCGCGUGAGUGAUGAAGGUCUUCGGAUCGUAAAACUCUGUUAUUAGGGAAGAACAUAUGUGUAAGUAACUGUGCACAUCUUGACGGUACCUAAUCAGAAAGCCACGGCUAACUACGUG
rnacentral:rRNA from 1 species